CUCCUCCAUGGUUUCCAGCGGGAGAAGAGCUGCUGAAUGGGGAGGAGAGAGGGACAGAGUGCCUGCUUCUUUAAAGGAGCAAAGCGGGAGGGGAGAGGAGUGUAAGCAGCUCCUGUCCAGUUGGCUCCUUUAAAGCAAACAGGCUCUCUGUAUCUCUCUCGUCCCCACUCAGCAGCUCUUCUCCUGCUUUGCUGGAAAUAGCAGGA